GCCUCCUUAGCUCAGUCGGCAGAGCGUCUUACUCGUAAUAAGAAGGUCGCCGGUUCGAUUCCGGCAGGAGGCU
rnacentral:tRNA from 5 species